UGCUAGAGAUUUUGAUGCUGUUCCGCAUG
rnacentral:piRNA from 1 species